UUGGGUGGGUUGCCGAUGCACGUCGCUGACCCGAAGUGGCGGGCGGCAGAGUAAAGCGGCGCCGGGCAACAACGCCAGCCAGCCGACCGCCCGAAGCCGGAAAGCAACGGAGCCGAGAGCCGAUGAGGUGCCGCGGCCGCGCCGGUCCCGAGACUCGCACUCUUUCCCGCGCUCGCCCAAGACAGUAGGGCGAAGGUAAGGUCACGCGGGACGUCCGACGAGAAAGGACCGGCUCGACCAGCUGUAUAGGAUCACGCAUUGGUUCCUCCGUCCCCGGCAGAAAAGGGGCAGUACGGGUCGCGGGCCCGACAGAGCGACACCGGCCCGUGAGAAGGUGUUCCGUGAGUCGCAUCGCUCA
rnacentral:rRNA from 1 species